AUUUAGUUAAAUAAAAAUUGAACACGUAAAUAAUUGAUCCCCUGGAGGGAGCAGAAAAAUAAUUGGCUGUGUCUCUAUCAAUUAAGCUAUCAGUCGGAGAUAUGUGCAUUAAUAUUUACUAUCAUGACCGACCAUUCCUAAAGUAAGUGGCAAAGGGCUUGGUGGUUGGUACCUGAGACCCAAGUUCGAAUCCUAGUUGAUUCAUAUUUCUAGCUAAGUUUAUUUCUAAAUGAAAUAAACGAAGCAGGUAGCGUGCUACCCAUCUCUCAAAAAAAAAAAAAAUUUACUACCAUGCAUAUAGAAUAUGCUAACC
rnacentral:lncRNA from 1 species